CUAAUACAUGCAAGUCGAGCGAACAGACGAGGAGCUUGCUCCUUUGAUGUUAGCGGCGGACGGGUUGAGUAACACGUGGGUAACCUACCUAUAAGACUGGGAUAACUUCGGGAAACCGGAGCUAAUACCGGAUAAUAUUUCGAACCGCAUGGUUCGAUAGUGAAAGAUGGCUUUGCUAUCACUUAUAGAUGGACCUGCGCCGUAUUAGCUAGUUGGUAAGGUAACGGCUUACCAAGGCAACGAUACGUAGCCGACCUGAGAGGGUGAUCGGCCACACUGGAACUGAGACACGGCCCAGACUCCUACGGGAGGCAGCAGUAGGGAAUCUUCCGCAAUGGGCGAAAGCCUGACGGAGCAACGCCGGGUGAGU
rnacentral:rRNA from 1 species